UACGUAGGCAGCAAGCGUUGUUCGGAUUUACUGGGCGUAAAGGGUGUGUAGGUGGCCUGUUAAGUUCCGUGUGAAAUCUCCCGGCUCAACCGGGAGGGUGCGCGGAAAACUGGCGGGCUAGAGUACGGGAUGGGAGAGUAGAAUUCCUGGUGUAGCGGUGAAAUGCGUAGAUAUCAGGAGGAAUACCGGUGGUGUAGACGGCUCUCUGGACCGUAACUGACACUGAGACACGAAAGCGUGGGUAGCAAACAGG
rnacentral:rRNA from 1 species